rnacentral:rRNA from 1 species
UACAGAGGGGGCAAGCGUUGUUCGGAAUUACCGGGCGUAAAGGGCUCGUAGGCGGCCAACUAAGUCCGACGUGAAAUCCCCAGGCUUAACCUGGGAACUGCGUCGGAUACUGGAUGGCUUGAAUUCGGGAGAGGGAUGCAGAAUUCCAGGUGUAGCGGUGAAAUGCGUAGAUAUCUGGAGGAAUACCGGUGGCGAAGGCGGCAUCCUGGACCGACAUUGACGCUGAUGAGCGAAAGCUAGGGGAGCAAACGGG